rnacentral:rRNA from 1 species
CGUAGGGUGCGAGCGUUAAUCGGAAGUUACUGGGCGCAAGCGUGCGCAGGCGGUUAUAUAAGACAGAUGUGAAAUCCCCGGGCUCAACCUGGGAACUGCAUUUGUGACUGUAUAGCUAGAGUACGGCAGGGGGGGAUGGAAUUCCGCGUGUAGCAGUGAAAUGCGUAGAUAUGCGGAGGAACACCGAUGGCGAAGGCAAUCCCCUGGGCCUGUACUGACGCUCACGCACGAAAGCGUGGGGAGCAAACAGGAUUAGAUACCCUGGUAGUCCACGCCCUAAACGAUGUCAACUGGUUGUUGGGUCUUCACUGACUCAGUAACGAAGCUAACGCGUGAAGUUGACCGCCUGGGGAGUACGGCCGCAAGGUUG